UACGAAGGGGGCUAGCGUUGCUCGGAAUCACUGGGCGUAAAGCGCACGUAGGCGGAUUGUUAAGUCAGGGGUGAAAUCCUGGAGCUCAACUCCAGAACUGCCUUUGAUACUGGCGAUCUCGAGUCCGGGAGAGGUGAGUGGAACUGCGAGUGUAGAGGUGAAAUUCGUAGAUAUUCGCAAGAACACCAGUGGCGAAGGCGGCUCACUGGCCCGGUACUGACGCUGAGGUGCGAAAGCGUGUGGAGCAAACAGG
rnacentral:rRNA from 1 species